GGCAAUGGCCAAUGACUUCUACAAUCCAUUUCAUCUUAGACAGUCCAGGAUUGGGAUACCCUGACACCAAGACCCUUCCUUGGUUGUCUGGCACAGUGCUGCCAUGUAUUAUCUCAGGAACUUUCAUUUAUUUCCCUUUGUGUCCAAACACCAGAAAGACUUUCUGAGUUGCUUGCCAAGGUGUUCUUCAGCCUUCCCUAGGCUAAACUUUGUCCACUGGAUCAAUAGCAGGUUGUCAACAAAGACAAGAACACCAUCUUCAGAAUGACCCAGAUCAUCUUCUUGGGUAGCCCUUUUUGGACAUCUCUAUGAAAUUCUGCAGCUGAAAGCUGACACACAUAAUUAUUUCCUGUAAGAUACUGGAGAAAAAAAAGCCCAGGAGAUAUUGUCAAGGCUGUUUCUGGGGUGGGAUCGGGGAAUAGGAGAUGA